rnacentral:tRNA from 1 species
UUAACUGAAGCCAAAAAGAGGCAUAUCACUGUUAAUGAUAAAACUGAAUAUACAAUUCCAGUUAAG